UUGCGUUGUGUAGGGGAAGUCAGCUCAAAGCGGCCAUAGGAGGCAAAGCGGCCACUCUUAAUUUUUCGGUUAUUUGAAAUGAUAGCGCAACAUUGCCGUUCUGUACGUAUAACCAAACCUCUCGCCCCGCGCCAGUCACUCAUUUAAAGCGAUGAGAACAAACGCAUGGUUCUAGUAACGACAAAUAUUUUUUUGUGCGUUUUGUUAAAAUAAUACGAGGAAGAAGGCGUCUUAGAGUACUUGUUUCAUAUGGACAACCUCUUUUUUGGCCUCACAAAGGAAGAUUUUUUGCAGCUUGUGUUUCAAUAUGCUGAAUCAAACCAUAUUCCACACACUUUUAAAAAUGAAACGGCUGGACACGAUUUUUAUAAAGGCUUCAUAAUGCGUCAUCCUAAUUUGACCUUGCGACAACCAGAACCCACAUCCAUAGCCAGAGCUCGAGGCUUCAACAAAUCCCAAGUAUAUCGAUUUUUAUAAAUUACUUUUAUGACUGACUGUGAUUAAAAUAGGUAAAAUGUUGUUGAUUUUUUUUUUAUGUGAAUUAUAUGUGUUGAUUUUUGA